UACGGGGGGGGUAAGCGUUGUUCGGAAUUACUGGGCGUAAAGGGCUCGUAGGCGGCCAACUAAGUCAGACGUGAAAUCCCUCAGCUUAACUGGGGAACUGCGUCUGAUACUGGAUGGCUUGGAUUCGGGAGAGGAAUGCGGAAUUCCAGGUGUAGCGGUGAAAUGCGUAGAUAUCUGGAGGAACACCGGUGGCGAAGGCGGCAUCCUGGACCGGUAUCGACGCUGAGGCGCGAAAGCUAGGGGAGCAAACGGGG
rnacentral:rRNA from 1 species